UCUAAAAUACCCAACCCAAACAUAAGCCUUUAAACCUCCAAACCCUUUCUACUUCUUCAUUUUCACACCAUUAGCAAACAAAGCAGCCCCAAUUUCACUCUUGAUGAUGUCGUCUCCUUUGAAAUCCUAUCCAUGUUACCACCCAGAUCUAGGAAAACCCAAAUGAAAACUCACCAAGUACGAUGAAGGACUUGUCAAAAGUUGUAUUUCUUCAUACGCAUCUUACGAACUUUGGUUGUCCAAAAGCUUGUUUCGACGGACGAUCUCAAAAUGCUCGGUCUAUCAAUUCGGUGCCCUAGAGAGGUAGUAGCUGUUCUGUUCGAAGUAUGCAUAAAAACUAAUGAUGCACCUUUCUAUGGAACAAUAUAAAGGAGUAACACUUGCUGAAGGGCUGAGAGGUUGUUACUUGCAUUCAAGGUGGAAUUUAUUUUAGACAAGGAACAUUUUUUUAUGUUUAAUGUGCUUUUCAUGUGUAUGCACAAUUACUCUAUGCUAUGAGUUAUGAAAUUUUCCAGUAUCAUUGUUUGGGAAA